GCGAGAUUCUGGAGCUAAAGGAGGCCACGUGCAAUAGGAAGGAAGCGUAAGGCCGAGAAUUGCCGGCACUCGUACGUCUCGCGGCUCUGCAAAGAUGCUCUAGGCGAAGGCGGAGUUAGCGCAGACCUGCUAGCCUUCCCACCCUUGUCUGACUUACAACUUAGAGGUCUGGUGGUACACCCCUCUUUUACGAUUUGAUACUGUUAAAAAAUCAAAGUUUAACAGUUUGGUUGCCAUACCAGAACAUCAUUGGAAAUCACAGCUUGGCCAGUUUUCUCAUAUGGAAGUUAAAUCUCUGAUCCUGGAAGGAAGAACCUCAAACUUAAAAAUAGGGUCAUAUAGUUGGGCUGAAAUGAAUGGACAUCCUUCAGUUACUCUGAAUCUCCUCUGCCAGUGGAGGGAGUCUGUCUUUCUUUAAAGAGCCUGGAGCAGGCACCCUGCAUUUUUCCUUCAAAGCAUACUUUCCUUCAAAGCAACCUCCAAGCCUUCUUCUUCUUAUUACAUACACAACAAGGCUCAAGUUUCAAUGAGUGUUACUCUUGUUUAAGGAGUCUCUUGCCUUCCCUGCAGGAGAGUUCGGGCCAAGAAAACCUAACCAAACAGCAGGCUCCAGAUCCUUAAACUCAAUGGUUUUGUUUAAGAAUGUACUUAGGUGUGUCCUGUACUUAAUUUCAACAGGUAACGUUAUGACUCCUGAAUAGAAGAAUUCAUUUUAAUGAAGCAUAUCCAUGGUGACUGUUGUCCAGCUCUGGGCUUGUCAACACUGUCGCUUUGCAUUGCCAAUGGCAAGUUAAACACUUGUAGCUUUCUGGCUGCAUCCCUGGUGAUCUGGUACUUCAGUGUCAUGAAAGUCUUGGGGAGAAGAAACAGGACAUUUGGCACAGGCCGUCUCUUUACCUCUGAGAUUUGUUCUCAGUGUUUGCUGAGUCAUCUUUAGCAAAUGCCUGGGAUCAGGCUGCUGUUCUGAGGGGAAGUGUGGGUUUGCUCUAGUCCUUGACCACUGAAGGUGCCUGGUGCCUUCCAGGUACAGACAGUUCUGAGCUGUCAUGUGGGUCCUGGGACUCGAUCAAACCUUGGAACUCUGGGAGAGCGCGCCUAUGCCAGUCCAAUCAUGAAGUCUUCUGUUGAAGUGAAACCACUAACAGGAUAGUAUCCCCAGGAUUACGUGAUGACUACAUGACGGCUUUUUAACUUCUCAUAACACUCAACUUUGGGAAUCGAACUUUGUAGGUAGAAACUGGCAGAAUAGAAGAACCAAGAGGAAACAACACUGACUAUGGACAAGGUGUGUUGCUGCCAUGUAAAGCAACCACAUGUACAUCACAUUGUUGCUGAGAAAGGGGGUUCUUUGUUCUGAAAGUGUCUUCAACAGUGAAAGUCAAGGAGAUGUGUUUUCCUGGGACACAGUGAACUCAGUCUGUUCCUCUAUAUUGAAAGGUCUCAGGACAGAGCCUGCAGAGCUCAGGUCCAUCUUCUGUCACAGGUUGCCUUGUUGGUCUUCACAUUUUUCCUCUCAGUUGAUCACCUCAGCUUGUUCUGAUGGGCUGGGACAGGCUCAGAUUGUUUUGUGGAUACACUUGUCUGUGUUAGGUCAAGGAUUAUGUUAUUUAAUUCCUUUGAAAUUUCUACUUGUUUACACAAAAAUACAUGCUAAGUGGGUCGUUUUAAUGGAUGUUGUUUUCUUGCAGCACUGAGAACCGUAUCAAGGCCUUGCACAUGUUUACUUUCUAACUGGUCUGAUGGUUCUACCACCCGGUGCACAGAACCUCGAACUGGGAGGCAAGUGACCCAGACUUGAAUCCUGUUUUGUACUUGUUAAGACCGUGAACUUGAAUAAAACUCUGAUCUUUUACCUUCCUCAUAUCCACCCAGAAUAUAGUGAGUAACCCCUCCUCUUUAUUGGGUCAAUUUAAGGAUUCAUCGAAAAUGUAAACUACCCUUUGUGAGCUGUAACUGCUAUAGAAAUGUAAUACAUAUGACCUUAAGGUGUUUACCCACUUGCCACUUUUACAAUGAACUUCCCCAUUCUUCCCCUGGGUCAGACUUGGCAUCAGGAGAAAGCCAAAGCAGUGUGAUUAGGGACCUAGGUGGACCUGCCUCUGCUGUGUCACCACCCUGUUCUGCAUAGGACCUACUUGCAGAGUCUUGGCUGUUUUCUUCAAUACAGAUUUUUAUGACAGGCUUUGAGAGAUCUGUACGGUAAAGGACAUAGAGUAUUGACCUCUCCUAGCUAUGUCUUUUGAAUAUAUUUAGUUUUUCAGAGAAUUGUGUUAGAUACUAAAGAAUCAGAAAUUAUUGGUUAUAAUUUUUUUUUAAGCUUCAGUCUGGUGAAGGAGAUAGAACAUACACACACACACACACACACACACAGUAGACAGACUGUAAGUUGUGAUAAGUGCUAGGUGCUAGGAUGGAUACAAAUCAGUAGUGAUGGAAGAUAAGGUGUGUGGGAGACUUACUUUGGGCAGUUUGAGGUUGAUACCUGAGAAAAGCCGGUCAUGCAGAGAUCUGAGAUAAGAACUUUCUAGGCAUAGAGAACUUUGUGUGGGAAGAUCCUAGGGCUCAAGAAAGUUUUCUAGCUGAAAGAUGACUAAAAUGGCGAUGACCGUGGUCCAGAUGAGUUGGGAAGGGUGGACUGAGGCCAGGACUGAAAGCUGUGGGGUGUGGAAAUUCAAGAAUUACCUCACCGUCUCUGUCUCAAAGUCAAAGUAUUACCUCAGAAUAUUUGACUUUCUCAUCAGAACAUGGGAGAUAGUCUUAUCUCUGCCAGCUACCUAAAUACUGGACUUCACAUCUAGUCAACAGAUACACUAGCCUACCAGUACUACGUCCAAAUAUCUUUGUAAAUCCAUUCACUCAACCUCAUUUCUGUCACCGUGGAUAAAGCCAUGGUCCCCUUGCCCUAGACACUGUAGAAGCUGUCUGUGUAGCAGUGUGCUGGUGAAAGUCCUCAUGGUGACUACAUUGGGGAAUGUCUAACUAGUAGUACUUGCAAGUUUCCUUGGUGUCAAUAUGCACACUCUGACCUCUGACCUACCAACAUGGCGGUGUUAAAUUUAGCAUCAGGAAGAUAUUUACAGUUGACCUUCUGAUACCCUAACAAAUUGGUGGCAAUAUUCCACCACCUAGAGUGUCUGUCUGCUGCUUCUUCUAGUACACACCCAGAACAAUCUCUUAUUAUCUCAAAUAUUUUAAUAGUUGAAGACUUAGAAAUAUCUAUUAAAUUUUUUGGUAACAAAGACUUGAAUUUUUCUAUAGUUGAAGGAUGCAGAAAAAAGUUUUUUCCCAACAGUAUUUAUUUGUUAAAUGUUAUUUUUAAAAUUGUUUUAUUUAUUUACAUUCCAAAUGUUGCCUUCCUUCCUGGCCCCCCCAUCCCCACCACCAAGAGUUCUUUACCUCCUCUCCCAUCUCCUUUGCGUCUAAGAGGGUACUCCCCCAGCCCACCACCCUCACCCAACUACCCACCCCCAGAUCAUCCCCUUCCCUGGGGCAUCAAGUUUCCACAGGAAGCAUCCUCUCCCACUGAGGCCAAACAAGGCAGUCUUCAGUUAUGUAUGUGCCAGGGACCACAGACCAGCCCAUGUAUGCUCCUUGGUUGGUAGCUUAGUCUCUGGGAGCUCCUAGAAGUCCAGGUUAGUUGAUACUGUUCUUGCCAUCCCCUUCAGCUUCUUUAGUCCUCCCCUAAUUCAUCCAUAGGGAUCCCCAACCUCAGUCUAGUGGUUGGCUGUAUCUUCAUCUGUCUCAGUCAGCUGCUGGUAGAGUUUCUCAGAGGACAGCCCUGAACUGUGUUUGGAUCUUUCAUCCUCAAUGCCCUCUAUGUACUGUUUUGACUUAUGUCUUCACAGGUAGAGACAUCAUGAAAUGUUAGGUUAGCUUAGGUUAGCUUUGGUCUUAGAUACUUGCUGAGAACCUAGCAACCUUGUUGUUUUGGACUGCAGCCUGAAUCCACAGCGGACUCCUAGUCUUAAGGCUUUGACUGAGCUAUGCCUUUGAGGGCAAAUGAGUUCCUCUGUAACUCUGGGUGUGUACACCAGCUUUCCAGUACUGCGACAGACACCCGAGACAAUCAGCCUUAGAGAGAAAGGGUUUACUUUGUGUCACAGUUUUGGAAAUCUGACUCCAUGAUCAGGCAGGCUUCUUGGUAGGGACAGAUGGCAACGGCAAGGAGCCCCUAACAGAACAAAACUGCUCACUUCGUGGUUGGGAAGUGAGUGGAAGGGACAAGAGAAACUGGUUCCCACAAUGCUCUUUGGGAGCAUGCUCCCAAAGAGCCCAAACACUUCUCACUCAGCUCCACUCUAAAAGUUCCGUCAUCCCUCAGGAGCACCAAAAUGGGGCUGCAGCCUUUUAACAAGUAGACAUUUAGAGAGGAUACUGACGAUCUAAACUCCAG
ensembl:lncRNA